UAAGGUAUAACUCAGUGGCAGAGUACCGCGCUUGUAUCGCGGGAGUCUUGGGUUCGAUUCCCAAUACCUUAGACA
rnacentral:tRNA from 1 species